AUUUAGACGAAUAUAACAAGAGCUCACAUGACUAUAUUAUUUCUUAUAGACUAAUGAGAAUUAUGUUUAAAGUUUUUAAUGUUUGACCCAAAAAAUUACAAUGGAAUACUCUUUUAGAAACGGAUGGAAUAUUAGAUUUAGCAACAUAGACAACACCAAUAGACAUGGGCUAGUGCCAAUUAUGUAAAAUCUCAAUAAGCCCAAUAUUUUAAUUUCGAAGACCAGAAGCAUUAAUUAUUAAUAUAUAGAUAGGUAUGCACCCAUCUAUAUAUGCAUAUGUAAUGAAACGACUGUGUUUCAUUAAUAAGAAAUCACGCGCCUAUAUCACAUACCCAUUUUCUCUCUCCUCUAACCUCCGCCCAUUUUCUCUCACCAUUUUCUCUCUCAUCAAAACCUCUCACUCUCUUUCCUCCAUUGAUGCGCCGUCGUCGAUAUGAUGUGCUCACUCUUUCCUUCCGCCGCUAACACCUAUUCCGAUUUUCUUCCACCGCUGCCGACGAUAUGCUGUCGGAAAAUACUGUACUUCUUCGCCGAUCUAUUAGUGUUCUUCGUCGCGACGCUUGAGAGGCUUCCUACCUACGACGAUCUGUUGUCCAAAUCGAGCGGAGAUUGCUGAUGAUUGCACCGUCUUUCGGCAGAGAGGCAGGGCUUCAAACCGUAGAUCCAAGACUUUUUCUCGUUCUCGCAUUGCCAUUGAAGUUAUGGGUGUGUUGCAAGAGGGAGAGGUGUGCUCAUGGUGCCAAUAACAUUUUGAAGAAAGCUAUAUUGAUUGGUGUGGAAGGAAAAAGUUAAUAUGAAUGCGCCAACAAAAGAGAAAAAAACGAUUUAGAAAUGGAUGAUGUGGUAUUAAGAGAGGCUCCAAGAAUUGAAGGCGGAAGCAACAAGAAAAAAAAUCUGCAAAUAAGGAAGCCGAUAGAAAGAGAAGAGACCGGUGUAGCGAAAAAAGUGGAAGCCGAAAGGAAGCGGAAAAAUUAGAAGCAUAUAGAAAGAGAAAAUAGGCAGCAACAACUAAAAUAGAGGAAACAUAUAGAAAAUAAAUGACAUGUUCAUUAAAUUACUUUAAAUGUCCAUAUGUUUGUUUAUUAUGUGUGCUUGCAGCUUACUCAAAUAAUGAGAUUUUUUUUGGAAAACAA